AUACGGAGGGAGCGAGCGUUGUUCGGAUUUACUGGGCGUAAAGGGCGUCUAGGUGGUUUGGCAAGUUGGAUGUGAAAGCCCUCGGCUCAACCGAGGAAUUGCAUUCAAAACUGUCAGACUAGAAUGUGAGAGGGGAAAGCGGAAUUCCUAGUGUAGCGGUGAAAUGCGUAGAUAUUAGGAGGAACACCGGCGGCGAAGGCGGCUUUCUGGCUCAACAUUGACACUAAAGCGCGAAGGCUAGGGUAGCGAACAGGAUUAGAAACCCUAGUAGUCC
rnacentral:rRNA from 1 species